rnacentral:misc_RNA from 1 species
AAUUCAGAAGAUGGAGCUCAAAUAUAUAGCAUCAAUUAAUUAAUCCUUCUAAUUAACAUUGCAAGUUUGAAGUUUGUAACUUCACCUCCCAGAGUUCCUACCUAUAUAUUUGAGCUCCAUCUUCUGAAUUGAAAUUCUAAUUUUCUGUUUCACUGCUAUGCAUUAAUUCCCUGAAGGGAAAUAGCAUUAUCACAUGAUCGUGCAUGGACAAAGUUGAGUCCUGAUUGGAAGAUGGAGAAUACAUAUAUGCAUGGAAUUAGUUCAUCCAUAAAAAUCUGCGAACAUAAAUUAGUGAAAAAAAA